UUGAAGAGUAAGAACCAAACCAGUAUCUAAGGCGUCCGAAGUGACAUCUGCAGAUUGGUACUAAUAUAACUACCACUCCUACUGGCGUCAAAUCACGCAAUGCGGACAGGUUUGCCCCAAACCAGCUAUUCAGGUCAAAAACAGAUUGAGGCUUUUUUCAGUUACUGACUCACUUCCCACAACCUGCACUUCAAUCUGUCAAUAUCUUUGAGAGAAUCAGGCGUCUGAGCGGAGUUAUUUAGU